GAAAUGCGAUAAGUAAUGUGAAUUGCAGAAUUCAGUGAAUCAUCGAAUCUUUGAACGCACCUUGCGCUCCCUGGUAUUCCUUGGUGCAUGCCUGUUUGAGUAUCAUGAAAUCUUCAAAGUAAAUCUUUUGUUAACUCAAUUGGUUUCUACUUUGGUAUUGGAGGUCUUUGCAGCUUCACACCUGCUCCUCUUUGUUCAUUAGCUGGAUCUCAGUGUUAUGCUUGGUUCCACUCGGCGUGAUAAGUUAUCUAUCGCUGAGGACACUGUAAAAGGUGGCCAAGGUAAAUGCAGAUGAACCGCUUCUAAUAGUCCAUUGACUUGGACAAUACUUUUAUGAUCUGAUCUCAAAUCAGGUAGGACUACCCGCUGAACUUAAGC
rnacentral:misc_RNA from 1 species